rnacentral:rRNA from 1 species
GAUGAACGCUGGCGGCGUGCCUAAUACAUGCAAGUCGAGCGAACGGACGAGAAGCUUGCUUCUCUGAUGUUAGCGGCGGACGGGUGAGUAACACGUGGAUAACCUACCUAUAAGACUGGGAUAACUUCGGGAAACCGGAGCUAAUACCGGAGAAUAUUUUGAACCGCAUGGUUCAAAAGUGAAAGACGGUCUUGCUGUCACUUAUAGAUGGAUCCGCGCUGCAUUAGCUAGUUGGUAAGGUAACGGCUUACCAAGGCAACGAUGCAUAGCCGACCUGAGAGGUGGAUCGGCCACACUGGAACUGAGACACGGUCCAGACUCCUACGGGAGGCAGCAGUAGGGAAUCUUCCGCAAUGGGCGAAAGCCUGACGGAGCAACGACGCGUGAGUGAUGAAGGUCUUCGGAUCGUAAAACUCUGUUAUUAGGGAAGAACAUAUGUGUAAGUAGCUGUGCACAUCUUGACGGUACCUAAUCAGAAAGCCACGGCUAACUACGUG